rnacentral:rRNA from 1 species
AACGUAGGUGGCGAGCGUUAUCCGGAUUCAUUGGGCGUAAAGAGCUUGUAGGUGGCGGCGUAAGUUGGACGUGAAAUCGCCCGGCUCAACCGGGCGGGGUCGUUCAAUACUGCGCGGCUGGAGGAGGUCAGAGGGAAGUGGAAUUCCUGGUGUAGCAGUGAAAUGCGUAGAUAUCAGGAGGAACACCCGUGGCGAAGGCGGCUCCUGGGGCCGAUCCUGACACUGGAGAAGCGAAAGCUAGGGGAGCGAACGGG